GUAUUUCCCUUCAUUUGUCAGUAGGUUAUACCUGCUUCCUGCUUCUUGGAUUUCCCAUCAAUGAGCUUUUUUAAAAAUAUGCUUUCAGGCUAUUUUGAUGCUAGGCAGUUAGCUUAAAAGGGAGUCUUGUUGACAUGAGAGGGUUAAUGUUGGGUGAAUAACUAAUGAAUAAAAUAUUGUCUGGCAUGAUGGAAUAUGGUCAAAUUUAAUAAUAUAGCAGAUACCUCAAACCAGUCAGAGGCAUCUCUUUGAGUUAGAAUUCCAGUAAAUUGUCUGUUCAGAUGCUGCUCUUUGACAGGCUGCCUCUUAUAUUAUGAUGUUUGACUGUGGUUGAAAUACUAAUGAAGGCAUGGGGCCUACUUUUUAGCUACAUCACGCUGUCAGCUUUUUAGGGCUUCUCCCCUUCCCAGCUUUACAGGGGUAGUAGAGCACUUACUGCGCAUGCAGAAGAUCCCAGAAUCAAUACCCAGCAUCUCCAGGUACGAGUUGGGGAAGUCUCUUGUCUGUAAUCCUGGAGAGAUGCUGCCAGUUAGACAGUACUGAACUAGAUUGAUAAACGGUCUGACUUUGUAUAAAACAGAUUGCUCGUUAGGGGCAGGUAACCAAUGACAACUUCAACCAGCUGCUGUUUCUCCAUCUCAUCCCUCACCCUCAUCAUGAUCUGGGGAUAAUAGACUACAUCAGUUAGAGUAGUAAUGGUUUCUUUAGAUCAGGCGUUGGUCCACAUUCCCUCAAUGGGCACCUUUCCAGGGAUCACAUGCCACAGGAAGAGGCAAAAGUCGGCUGAGGAUGGAUGGAACUUUCUCCAUUGUAUAGCAGGCUUCAUUCCAGUCAGGUUUCUACAUACACUUCCCUCUCCAUUCAGGGAAGCAAGGGCAUUAGCACAGUUCAAGGGCGCAUUCCAACCAAGCCAGGAGCAUUCAAGAAAGUGCUGAGCAAGGCUAGGGAGGGGAUGCAGCCUGGAAGAACCAAUACAGGGGCCUGAGGUUCCCCACCUUUGGAUUACGUAGUGUCAUCGGCAUAUCUGGUACAGUAUUCAGCCAAAAUAUGUAAGUGCAUUUGGGACAGAUACCUACAGUCAAAGAGGAAGGAGGGAUGAAUGUUGGCAAAUGCAGUUGAAUGUCUUAAACCUUUGUUAUAGUUAGGAAUGAGGAUUAAGGGAGUAAUCCAAAUACUAUGCAGAAGAUAUGGGUUUUGCAGAGGAGAGUGGAGGCACCACAUUUGUUUGGGGUGGGAAUUCCAUGCCAGGGAUGGAAUAAAAAAUGACCAGUCUUGGAAGUACUUGGAAUGUUCAAAAGUGCUUACAAGCAUGUAUUUUUAAGCUUGUGUACUAAUAGUGAACUUAAUUCUCCGAGCAAUGAUCCUUAUGAAACCAAAAUGGCAUCAUUCACACACAAGAUGGAGGUAUUGGCAGCCAUUUAUUAGAUUUAUACAAUGCAACUUCCGCCAAAGGAGCACAUGACAGCAAACAUAUCAAUACUAAAUACAAGUAAAACUUGUAGAAACAGUUUGGAACAACCUUCUGAAAACCAGUUUAAAAUGCCUAAAAGCAAUUGUCUGCUCUCAAACUAAUAAUUUCAGGAUUGCCAGGGACAUGACUUUCAGUCAUCAAAGGCCUGACUAAAUAAUGUUUUGAAAUUUCUCUUAAAAAUUAAUAGUGAGGGAGACAGAUGUGCCUCAUUAGGGGGGUAUUCCACAAACAUGGGACAUGCCACUGGCCAGGCACCUCCAAAUAGCUGCAACACCAGCAGGUUCUCCCCGGUGAUUGUACAGACUGAGCACUGUUCAAAACUCAUCAGGCGCAUUAUGCGGGGUCCAGUUGCGACCACGUGGAGAACUUUGGCUGUUGGCGACUGACAUCUCUGUCUGGCUGGUCCCUCCAGCUUUCUUAAGCAGGUGAGGAGAAGAGCUUGCUUAUUGCAUUUAUCUCCCACUUUUUUCUGAAAGGAGUACAUGUUUUACCUCCCUUCUCAGUUAAUCCCUACAACCACCCCAUGAGGUAGGUUAGGGGGCUGUGACUGGCUCAAGCUCACUCAGGGAGCAUCAUGACCAAGUGGGGAUUUGAACCCUGAUCUCCUAGGUUUUAGGUCCAACACACUAACCACUGCACCAUACUGGCUUCCUAAAGUACUUCUGCUAUGAGGCAGCUCUACAAAUUACAUAGAUAUUCAGGCAGUGAGAGUGCCGUCGCAUAUAUAGCCAGAGCGGUACCAUCCACAAGGCAGAGGGAGGUGUCAGCAGGCUCGGAGGAACCUUGAGGCUGCUGGUUUUCAUUGGCACAACUUUUUAUUAUUUUUAUGACCUGCGUUUCAACUUUGUAUUGUAAGCUGCUUUGAGCAUAUUUGAUGGAAAGUCACAGACCCGUGAAGGAUCCAUAAGCAAAACUGCAAAGUACUGCUGGUUCAGAAAAUGUUCUGAAUUUCUAAACUUGAAAGAGGGUCACCUUGUCUGCCACGGACUGUUACAUUGUUCACGAAAUUUACAACGGCGAGAAUGCUCAGGACCAGUUUGAAUACGAGCUGGAACAGGCCUUAGAGGCUCAG